UGGGGAAUAUUGCACAAUGGGCGAAAGCCUGAUGCAGCAACGCCGCGUGAGCGAUGAAGGCCUUCGGGUCGUAAAGCUCUGUCCUCAAAGAAGAUAAUGACGGUACUUGAGGAGGAAGCCCCGGCUAACUAUGUGCCAGCAGCCGCGGUAAUAAGUAGGGGGCUAGCGUUAUCCGGAAUUACUGGGCGUAAAGGGUGCGUAGGUGGUUUCUUAAGUCAGAGGUGAAAGGCUACGGCUCAACCGUAGUAAGCCUUUGAAACUGGGAAACUUGAGUGCAGGAGAGGAGAGUGUAAUUCCUAGUGUAGCGGUGAAAUGCGUAGAUAUUAGGAGGAACACCAGUUGCGAAGGCGGCUCUCUUGACUGUAACUGACACUGAGGCACGAAAGCGUGGGGAGCAAACA
rnacentral:rRNA from 1 species